rnacentral:misc_RNA from 1 species
GAUGAAGAACGUAGCGAAAUGCGAUAAGUAGUGUGAAUUGCAGAAUUCAGUGAAUCAUCGAAUCUUUGAACGCACAUUGCGCCCUAUGGUAUUCCGUAGGGCAUGCCUGUUCGAGCGUCAUUCAAACCUUCAAGCUCUGCUUGGUGUUGGGCGUCUGUCCUGCCUCACGGCGCGGACUCGCCUCAAAUCUAUUGGCGGCCGGCACGUUGGCUUCGAGCGCAGCAGAAACGCGAACUCGAGACCGGCGGAUCGGCUCCCAGAAGCUACCCCCAUGAAUUUGACCUCGGAUCAGGUAGGGAUACCCGCUGAACUUAAGCAUAUCAAUAAGCGGAGGA